rnacentral:rRNA from 1 species
UACGUAGGUGGCAAGCGUUGUCCGGAUUUACUGGGCGUAAAGAGUAUGUAGGCGGAUAUUUAAGUAGAAAGUGAAAGGUUGGAGCUCAACUCCAACAUUGCUUCCUAUACUGGAUAUCUUGAGUGCUGGAGAGGAAAGCGGAACGACACGUGUAGCGGUGAAAUGCGUUGAUAUGUGUCGGAACACCAAUGGCGAAGGCAGCUUUCUGGACAGAGACUGACGCUGAGAUACGAAAGCGUGGGUAGCGAACAGG